rnacentral:lncRNA from 1 species
GUGAGGCGAGGGGCCGGGGCUGCGGCCGGGCGGCGACGCUCGGGGCCGGCGGUUUCCCAGGCGAUGGGUGGGGAGAGGAGGAGGAGGAGGAGGAAGAGGAGGAGGAGGGGUCCUCGCGGCUUUAUCUCCCACCCGGCUCCGCCCGCCGUCGGCUGUCUCCCGUGACCGCAAGCGCACCGGCGGGCGCAGCGCGGGCAGGGCAGCGCCCAUGGGCUGCGGCAACUCCACGGCCGGCAGCGCGGGCGGGCGAGGUGCUACAGGGACUACUAAAGAUGUAGCAGAAGAAUCCAUAUCAGAUGAUGACAAAAGGAGGUAGGUGCUCUGCUCAACCAGGGUUAGCUUUAUUUGCAAUAGGCUGCAGCG